GUGAGAGUUUGAUCCUGGCUCAGGACGAACGCUGGCGGCGUGCCUAACACAUGCAAGUCGAGCGAGUGGAGUUCUUCGGAACAAAGCUAGCGGCGGACGGGUGAGUAACACGUGGGCAACCUGCCUCAUAGAGGGGAAUAGCCUCCCGAAAGGGAGAUUAAUACCGCAUAAGAUUG
rnacentral:rRNA from 1 species